rnacentral:misc_RNA from 1 species
AACUCCUGUUAUCGAAAAAAAGGUUAAAAAAAUGUCUAAGUCCGACCAGGAUCCAAUUGGUUCGCUGAGCAUAAUGGAGCAAAUCAAGAUUCUGAUCAAGCCUCCGCCAAAUGAGGAUGAGAAACUGGUUCAGCGUAGCAACAAUACAAAACACCCAUAUUAUAGGCGUCCUGGACGCGGACAUAACCACGAUUUGUGCGAUGCCUGCGAGGAGGGCGGAAAUUUGCUGUGCUGUGACCGUUGCCCCUCCAGCUUUCACCUGCAAUGCCAUGAUCCACCGCUCAAUGAGGAGGAUAUACCGACCGGUCAAUGGUUAUGCCAUAGCUGUCGCAUGGCCAAAGUCGCACAGCCCACGUCUAACUCGAAAUCCAAUUCAGUGGAGCGUGUGCCGUCAGGAGGCAGCGGUUCACGCGCCCAUACACCCUUAUCCGGUGAUCUGGAGUCGAUACCGUUGAAGAUACGCAAUUUGCGCAAGCGGAGCAGUAGUGACCGGAACAGCACCGAGAAGCUGUUGUCCAAAAUGCCGUUGGCAAUACAGCGCGCCCUUGACCCGAACAGAAAACCAACGCCACUGGACGAUGUAAUACGCGCCGCCAGCAUGAUGAAUCCGCAACAGUUCUCAUUGCCACCAGAGCUGGAGCUGCACACCCAGUUUCCUGGCAAUGGCAAGGUGCAACCGGUGAAUCAGCCACACAGCGGUUCGACUGGUGGCAAUGGCCAUCGCAAGCCGAGCAGUCAGCGACGCAACUCCAAGCCAUUUGAACUGGACGGCCAGGGUCUGGUGCCGUUGCCAGCCAAGACGUGUUUCUAUUGUACGCGCAGUUGUAAACGGGCGCCGCUCAUCUCAUGCGAUUAUUGUCCACUGUAUUAUCAUCAGGAUUGUCUGGAUCCGCCGCUGACAUCACUGCCAGCCGGUCUCUGGAUGUGUCCCAAUCACGUCGAGAAUUUUAUCGAUACCAACAUGGCGAACAGCAUCUCAGCAACGGAACGAGUGCGCCUGUGGAAUCGCUUUCAUCAGCCGCUCGAUCAUGAAAACGUCAAGAUGGAGUUCUUUCGUCGCGUCAAUUCACGCAAUCCACCCUUUCGCAUGAAGCUGAGCACGCGCGGACGCGCCCACGUCGAGGUGCCGCCCAUGGUCCGGUAUCACUACGAGCAUCCGCCGGCACUGCUGCCAUCCAUGCGGCAAACGUUGCGCUAUGAUCGUGUCAAGCGACGCAAACAGCUGCCCACCGCUGUCGAGGAUAUAUCCAGGGAGAGUGUCACCGAAUCGCUGAUCAAAGAUAUUGAGGCAUUGCGCUGUGCGCGUGCCAAAUUUCGAGAGAUCCAACGGGAGUAUGGCAAUGCGGAUCUCGAUGGCAACAUUAGCGACAGCGAUCCAGAAAGCGGAGCUGAACAGCAGCCACAACGGACGAGCAACGGACUAACGACUGCUUCGGCCCACAAGCAGCUGGAAGAUAUUCCAGCUGAUGGACACAAUGAGCGCAAUGAGUCCAUAAACACGCCGGCGGCGCCAUCGGAGCAGCAAAUGAAGCAACAGCAGCAGCAAAAGCCAAACAACAGCUGCUACGGGCCGACGAAUUUGGAAAUUAGCUUCGAGGAGGAUGAGGAUGAUUGCAAAUCGAGCAAUCUGAUUAUUGAUGCGGAUCUGUGUCAUCUAGAUGUGGACAUCAUUAAGAAACUGGCGCAUCAGCGUCUGCAACAGCUCGUCCAGGAGCAUCCCGAGAUUGUUACCCAAUACAAGAAUCGGACUGCGGCGCGUCGAUUGCGACAGCUAUCGGCUAGCGGCGGAGAGUCAGCGCUACAGGGCGAUCUGGCGCCGGAGGAUAUGCGUCGCUUCUCGCUGCUGUUCACCAGCGAAACAUCAUCGAUACUCGCCCAGAAAAAUGGCAAUGCCGCCGAUGAGGAUCCCAUGUUGGCUCUGCAUCCGGCACUAGCCACAGCCGCUGCCAUUGCGGCAGCCGAUGCUGCCGCCGAAAGUUAUGUGCCACGAAUCCGCACCGAUACGGAGAAGGCCUAUGAGCUAGCCAUGCGGCUCGAACUGAAGCUGCUCAAGUGCAAGGUGCGAUCGCGAGCGGUACUCACCCCGCUCGGCGAUAUGCUCGAGGAUAGUCGCUGGUUUAGCUCCCUCGAUCUGGAUCACUCGAUAUUCAUGCGCUAUCGCACACUUUACAUUGGCUAUGGUGGCCAUUAUACGCCCUCAACGACACUGGGGCAAACGGAAACGGUGGAUCUGUCGGCGAUCGGUUAUUGUUCGCGGAUAUCGCAACAGCAUGCAAUCAUAUUCUACGAUGAGUUCUCCAAGUCGUACGAGCUGAUGAACUAUUCCGAAUUUGGCACUGAGGUCAAUGGCCAGCUAUACACAUGCGAUCUGGCCGAUUAUACGCCCACGCAUGCCGGCAAACGGAUGCGUGCCGACGAUACGGAACUCAAGCGGCGCGUCGAUGAUCUGCUCGAUAAGCGUCGCUCCAUCCAGCGACAGUAUGAGGCCAAGGGAGAAGCACACGGCAGACUGGCGCCCGUUGUUAAGGACGCGUGUCGCUGCCAAGCCGCAAGCCCUGUGCCGUUGGUGCCGGGUGCCUGGGAGGGAACCGCUGUUCUCGCCCAUGGCAGCCUAUUGCGAUUUGGUUGCCUCACGUUUGUGUUCGCUGUGUCUCCAACAGAUGCGAUGACUCUGCGGCACAGCAAUGCCAAAUGACAGACCAUGUAGGGGUUAAGUGGCGACAGUGCGAAUGCAAAUCAAUUUGCCGAGCUGGGCCGCAGAAGCAGCAGCAGCACCAGCAACAGCAGCAGCAACAGCAGCAGCAACAGCAGCAGCAGGUGCAGCAAGCGCACAUGUCGCAAAUCUUUACGUUUACUCAAUCAAGCAGCAGUGGCGAGCAGCAAGAAACACCAAUCUCAGUGAUCGGCAAUCGGUUUGGAUCACACACACACACACAACCAGGUGCCCCAGUGCCAGGAAUAUUCCAGCUCCUCAAAAUCCCCAAAUCACCAACUUACGCCACAAAAUAGAAAGAGAGCUCGAAGUGGAGACAGAUAGAGAGAGAGAGAGAGAGAGAUAAAGAAAGUGUGAAGGAUUACAAACCAAUUUUGGAGGUAUCCAUUUUAAAUCCCCAUGAUUCUUUCCCAUUCACUUCAUCUUCUAUAGCUGUAUAAGGAGCAUCGUCGUAACACAUAAUGUUUUGUAAGCAAAUAGAUUUUUCAAAUUCUU